UUACUUAAAUGAUUCAUUUUGUUAGUACAGUUUCAGCUCUGCUCCAGUGUUUUGUGCUUUCUUUUUGAAAUUUGCAUCAAAUAACGGGAGAAUAUAGUAAAGACGUAAAACUCAUGAAAAAGGGAAAAAAAUUCGUAUCUCUUAUCUCUAUCUUAUCUAUAUCUCUUAUCUAAGGAAAAUAGCAUUCAAGUAAGACCAAAGAUUACGCGUUAUAGAAAAGAGAGGUUAAGUGAAGCGGAAAUCGCAUGUAAUCAUUUCGAAGGCAAGAGAAAAGGUGUUGUUUGUAAUGCAGGAGAACUAACAAGAAAUGAGAUACUAGGUUUUAGGGAAAUGGUAUAUGCAAAUGACGCGAAAAAAAUUGACCAAGAUAAAAUACUGCUUAAAUUCAUGCAAGUUGAUGUUCCUAAGCGAAAAACUACAGAUGAAACAGUUUUGAGGCAAAACAGAAAACUUUCGGUUAAAUAUUCAAUUAGAACUUCUGGAGACAAUAUUCCUGUUUGUGCUGCCACAUUUCAAAAGAUAACUGGUGCAAGAAAAGAUAGACUGUCUGGUAUUUCAAAAAAAUUUAUCGCCGGAGAACUAUUAGUUGAAAAGCGGGGAGGUCGUGUACUGAGUCAGAUUGAUAAGGGUAAUUCUGAAGCAAUAAAAACACACAUAAGCAGCUACAAAUGCAGAUAAAAUCACUAUUCGCGUGAAAAAUUCAGAAGAAACUAGUUACCUCCUGAGUUAAACAUACAGAAAAUGUACAAAAUAUUUUGUGAUACAACAAACUUUAAAUGUUCUUUGGCUAAAACAAGAAGAUUUUUUAUCAAAAUUUUAACCUUGGGUUGGGAAAUCCAAACUCAGAUACAUGUUUCAUUUGUGAGGAGUUUCUGGUAUAUAUAAGAAAAAACAAUAUGUUGGAAAAACGUAAUGAACUGCUCACCAAGUACAGACUUCAUAGGAUAAGAGCAAAGGCCUUUUUCAAAUACAUGAAAACCCACACAGAAAAUACAUUUAAAGUUUGUUUCGAUUGCCAACAAAAUCAGCCAUUACCAAAAAUGUCUGUUGGUGAAGUUUUUUACUCAAGGCAAGUUUGGAUUUAUAAACUAGGCAAUGUACAUCACCAACAAAAAAAGCACCAGAAAAUGAAAGGGACAGUUAUUUGCAAAGUCCGCACUACAUAUACUGGUUAUGAAAUAGAAGUUAGUAGUUUCAAAAAAGGUGUAAAAACGCUAAUCGGAUAUCAGAAGCUCAGAAGCUUCUAACAGUGAAUCAUGUUAGUGACCUCAAGAAAAGUUACGUUAAAAAGCUCUUACGUGGCAUGGGUCUUACGGAUGAAGUUACUACUUUUUAUGAUGAAGUUAUGAAAGAACCUGCCCUAACUGUUGACAAUAAUGCUGAUGAGAUAGGGCAGGACGAUGAUUCCGAAGUGGAUGUUUGAAUAAUAAUAGCUAAAACUAUUAUUUUCUCUGAGCAGAUCAUAGUUUAUUUUAAUUUUUGUUAUCAUAAUAUGUACUUAUCGAGUUUUAAAAAAACUGCAUAUUUGUUUAUUUUUGUUUAUGUAUAAUAACAUUGAUAUUACAUUUUGUUUUUUUACUAAUCUGUUUGAAUUUAUUACUACAUUAUUAAUUGUCAAUACGUA